GGCUCAGAUUGAACGCUGGCGGCAGGCUUAACACAUGCAAGUCGAGCGGAUUACAGAGCUUGCUCUGUAGUUAGCGGCGAACGGGUGAGUAAUACCUAGGAAUCUGCCUAUUAGUGGGGGAUAACGUGUGGAAACGCACGCUAAUACCGCAUACGUCCUACGGGAGAAAGCAGGGGAUCUUCGGACCUUGCGCUAAUAGAUGAGCCUAGGCCAGAUUAGCUAGUUGGUAGGGUAAAGGCCUACCAAGGCGACGAUCUGUAGCUGGUCUGAGAGGAUGGCCAACCACACUGGAACUGAGACACGGUCCAGACUCCUACGGGAGGCAGCAGUAGGGAAUAUUGGACAAUGGGCGAAAGCCUGAUCCAGCCAUGCCGCGUGAUAGAUGAAGGCCCUCUGGGUUGUAAAUAUCUUUUAUCUGGGAAGAAACUCCUCUAUUCUUAGAGGCCUGACGGUACCAGAGGAAUAAGCACCGGCUAACUCCGUG
rnacentral:rRNA from 1 species